AUGAUUCUUGCUCGUAUUCUUCCAUAUUUGCCUCACCUUUAUACACGUCGUUCGUGUGUUGUGGAUGCGUCUACUGAUGUGCCAUCUUCCCCAUCUCAGCCUACUUGUGGCCUGCGUCCUCGUCCUCUUUCGCCUACUUACCGCCUUAGUCUUUCAAACAUUGGCGCUGUUGUUCUUGAGCAGACUUCUUAUCUUAAUGUUGUUCAUACCAAAUGGCAUCUUGCCAUGAUAGAGGAUAUUGCUAUGUUGAGCGCAUCGGCACGUGGGAUAUUGUUUCUCUUCCUCCUCGUGUUCUUCCUAUUACUUGGUGGGUCUACAAGGUUAAGACUCGCUCUAAUGGUUCUCUUGAGCAUUACAAAGCUCGUCUUGUGGCUCGUAGCUUUCAGCGGUAGCAUGGCCCUGAUUACGAUGAGACUUUUUGCUCCCGCAGGCCAUCUGACCAUUGUUAGCACACUUCUUGUUGUGGCCUCUAUUUGUCACGGGUCUGUGUUUCAGCUUGAUGUUAAGAAUGUCUUUCUUAAUGGUGAGUUGUGUGAGGAGGUUUACGUGCAGCCGCCACUUGGGUAUUCCACAUCUAGAUUCCCCUGUUCAUGUUUUUACUGUCAAAUGGAACUUCCCUACCAAUUGAUAGUCGAGUCACUCUUGCACUUCGUCAUUUCAUCUUCCUUCUUUUGCUCAUCUUCCUUGACUUUAUACUACAAUAAUUGUCCGCGUGUUGUGGAUUCUUCUAAUGAGUCAUCUUCCUUGACUACUAUGUCUUCUUCUGUUGGCAACACAUGGCCUCCAGAUCAGCCUACAGCCUACUAA
rnacentral:rRNA from 1 species